rnacentral:rRNA from 1 species
AAAUGAAUAGACGGGAGCCCGCACAAGCAGUGGAGUAUGUGGUUUAAUUCGACGCAACGCGAAGAACCUUACCGGAGCUUGACAUCCCGAGAAGGCGGAGUAAUGUCCGCUGUGCCCUUCGGGGAACUCGGAGACAGGUGGUGCAUGGUUGUCGUCAGCUCGUGUCGUGAGAUGUUGGGUUAAGUCCCGCAACGAGCGCAACCCUUACGGUCGGUUGCUACGAAAGAGCACUCCGGCCGGACUGCCGUUGAUAAAACGGAGGAAGGUGGGGACGACGUCAAAUCAUCAUGCCCCUUAUGUUCCGGGCUACACACGUACUACAAUGGCGCAAACAAAGGGGAGCGAACACGCGAGUGGGAGCAAAUCUCAAAAAAAGCGCCCCAGUUCGGACUGCAGUCUGCAACUCGACUGCACGAAGUCGGAAUUGCUAGUAAUCGCAGGUCAGCAUACUGCGGUGAAUACGUUCCCGGGCUUUGUACACACCGCCCGU